rnacentral:rRNA from 1 species
GUGUCAGCAGCCGCGGUAAGACGAACCGUGCGAACGUUAUUCGGAAUCACUGGGCUUAAAGCGCGCGUAGGCGGGCCGGCACGUCGGAUGCUGAAAGCCCCCGGCUCAACCGGGGAAGGGGCACCGAUACGACCGGCCUGGAGUGGGGUAGGGGGAGCCGGAACUUCCGGUGGAGCGGUGAAAUGCGUUGAGAUCGGAAGGAACGCCCGUGGCGAAAGCGGGCUCCUGGACCCCGACUGACGCUGAGGCGCGAAAGCCAGGGGAGCGAACGGGAUUAGAUACCCUCGUAGUCC